GGAUUAGAUACCCUGGUAGUCCACGCCGUAAACGAUGUGCACUGGGUCGAUGCGAAUCUGACUUCGUGUCGGCCGUAGAGAAAUUAUUAAGUGCACCGCCUGGGGAGUACGGUCGCAAGGCUAAAACUCAAAGGAAUUGACGGGGGCUCACACAAGCGGUGGAGCAUGUUGCUUAAUUCGAAACAACGCGAAGAACCUUACCAGGGUUUGACAUGUAUGGAUUAGCUCUUGGAAACAUGAGUCACGCGGCUUGCCGUGGAACAUACACAGGUGCUGCAUGGCUGUCGUCAGCUCGUGUUG
rnacentral:rRNA from 1 species